GAUGAACGCUAGCGGCAGGCCUAAUACAUGCAAGACGAACGGCAAUCCCGACAGCAAUGUCGGGACUAGAGUGUCGUAAGGGUGCGUAACACGUAUGCAAUCUGCCCUGUACAGGAGGAUAGCUCCCCGAAAGGGGAAUUAACACUCCAUAAGAUGUUUGUGUGGCAUCACACGAAUAUUAAAACUGAGGUGGUACAGGAUGAGCAUGCGCAUGAUUAGUUAGUUGGCGGGGUAAAGGCCCACCAAGACGAUGAUCAUUAGGGGAACUGA
rnacentral:rRNA from 1 species